UACGAAGGGGGCUAGCGUUGCUCGGAAUUACUGGGCGUAAAGGGCGCGUAGGCGGCACUGUUAGUCAGGCGUGAAAGUCCUGGGCUCAACCUGGGAACUGCGCUUGAUACGGCAGAGCUAGAGGAUGGAAGAGGGUCGCGGAAUUCCCAGUGUAGAGGUAAAAUUCGUAGAUAUUGGGAAGAACACCGGUGGCGAAGGCGGCGACCUGGUCCAUUACUGACGCUGAGGCGCGACAGCGUGGGGAGCAAACAGG
rnacentral:rRNA from 1 species